rnacentral:rRNA from 1 species
UGGGGAAUUUUGCACAAUGGGCGCAAGCCUGAUGCAGCCAUGCCGCGUGUAUGAAGAAGGCCUUCGGGUUGUAAAGUACUUUCAGCGGGGAGGAAGGGAGUAAAGUUAAUACCUUUGCUCAUUGACGUUACCCGCAGAAGAAGCACCGGCUAACUCCGUGCCAGCAGCCGCGGUAAUACGGAGGGUGCAAGCGUUAAUCGGAAUUACUGGGCGUAAAGCGCACGCAGGCGGUUUGUCAAGUCGGAUGUGAAAUCCCCGGGCUCAACCUGGGAACUGCAUUCGAAACUGGCAGGCUAGAGUCUUGUAGAGGGGGGUAGAAUUCCAGGUGUAGCGGUGAAAUGCGUAGAGAUCUGGAGGAAUACCGGUGGCGAAGGCGGCCCCCUGGACAAAGACUGACGCUCAGGUGCGAAAGCGUGGGGAGCAAACAGG